ACCAACAUUCAACAAGAUCCAGACUCAAGGCUGUACAGAUAUGAAUCUGUCUACUUUACUGGUAGCCAUUGGGCUCUGUGUGUUGCUAGGCUGGUGUGAUGGCUCAGAUGAAAGCCCUGGUCGACCUUUCAUACUAGAAGCUAUUGAGGAGGCCAA